UGAUGAAAUAAGAAUUAGGGAUUGUUAACUUUGAAGUUAGCUUGCUUAUUGUGUUUGGAGAAGCUUUACACGGGAAAUGGAGAGUGGUUUAAUGGUCAGCCGCAAUGAAGGGCAUGGAGUUCCUAACGAUGGUUCCUGAUUUGCCCAGUUCGGCAAACUUCAGGAAUGGUUCCAUCAAUAACAUCCUGAAAAAGGAAUACCGAAAAAAGUCCAUGCUUGUACAUCCUGACAAAAACAUGGGAAGUCCUUUAGCAAGUGAGUCAUUUUUUCCGGUAUGAACCCGAAUAAACCUGCGACUCAUGAUCUUUUCGGUGUUUUUGCGACGGUAGCAAGCGACGCCGUUUAUAAGCCUAUGGAUAUGGUGAAACAGGGGUUACAGUUGGGCAAGAGUGGUGCUUAUGAAUGUGUGUUUGAUUGUGUUAAAAAGUUUUGAAAGAGGAAGGUUUUCGGUUGUUUUAUGCUUCUUACAGGAUGACAGUGCUCAUGAAUGCGCCGUAUACGACAGUUCAUUUCGCAACUUACGAGGCAGUAAAAAGGGGUUUGAUUGAGAUUUCACCAGAGUGUAAGUGAUGAACGAGUGAUUUUCCAUGCUACGGCGGGUGCUCUUGCUGGGGCUUCUGCUCCGGUUAUCAGUACCCCGCUUGAUGUAGUCAAAACUCAGUUGCACUAACAGCCAAACUAGAAAAUUACAGCCCCUAGAACUGUUUCAGCAAUUCGAUUACAAGACAUGAAGAGAAACCGGUUAUUGAUAUUGAAAUGGUCAAGGACAUGGAUACGUCGGAACAUGGAAAAGGAUCUGAAUCUGGCGACUCUACUGUGGUGGAUGCAAAGCUUAAUGCUAAUCAGUCAGAUGCAAUCCAUCAAGAACCAGACAUGAACGAAAGUUCAAAUUGUGGACAUGAAGACUAUGGCAAUAUUUCUUCUAGCCAAAGCAUGUUUGACCAAUAUGACAAUGAGAAACGAAAGGAAAUGUUCGCAGGGCCAUGUCUGAAGGCCAGUUUCCUGUCCUAGAAAAUUUAUCACAUACCCUUGAUGCUGCUUGGAUUGGAGAA